AUUAGAGAAAGACCGUAUUGCAUUUGUAGUCCUAAACUGAAUAGGUUCUCCACCUCUUCUGAUUAGCUUGGGUAACCAUGAUAUGCUGCUAGGUGUCACUCAUGGUUUGUGGAAGCCCUAUACGUGUAUAAUCACUAAAGGGAGAAUUGAAAGUAAGUUUCAAUUCACAAUCGAUGUGAAAUGGUUUUAAUCGCCCACUGCCUCGCUAAAAGGAACCUAAUGGAUCGUACACCGUGUAAGGUGGAGAUUGAAGAAACAAUCGAAAUGAGUAAGAAUAAUUAAAUGGUUUAAUUAUUUAUGGCAAGGAUUAAUUAAUAUGUUAAUUAAUCAAAC
rnacentral:lncRNA from 1 species